rnacentral:lncRNA from 1 species
AAUUGGCUGCUGGCGAUUUCUGUAAACAAGGCUUAAGGGUUAUUGUAUUUUCUACAGUCUUUGGAUGAACAUGUGUGGACAUGUUCUUGAUUGGAAUUUUUAAAUGUGGCUGACACAAUCGGCCGAUUUUUUGUUAUCUCCAUUCAACUUUUACGUUCUACAUUUUUGUGCUUUAUAUCGUUUUUAUCUCGUUUUUGUCUUGCGGAUGUAUUGUCCCAGUAUUCUUUUUUUUAUCCCUUGGUCGUUGGUCCCUUGGCUCUAGUUGGCCCCCAGUUUCCUGUGAAAGAGACGGAUGCUAUAAUAUAUUAAAGAAGAAGAAGAAGAUUGAAUUUUCACGAUUUGUAUUAUUAUUAAACUACAACUUUGUGACUAAAGAAGAAAAUGUCUACAAAAAAGAAAGUUAAUGAGUCAGAUCAAAUUAAUAAUGAACUGGAAGAAAAUAGAAAUCUUGUAGUGAGUAUUGAGAAUACCACUUGUACUCGAAGUGUCGCCAGAGAACAUUUUGGCAUGCUUAAAGAUGAUGAAAAAUAUAUUGUAGUUGAUAAAUUCCGCGUAUAUUGUAAAAUAUGUUUUAUGGAUCUUGAUGGACGAAAAAUAUAUAGAUACAAAGAAAGUGGAAAUUUACUGGCCCAUUUGACAGAAAAACAUAACAUCAAAUCAACACAUUUGUCAAAUAAAAAAGCCAAUAUUAGAAGAUUCUUUCAAUCUCAUUUACAAGCUAAUAAAUCGUCCACAUCUUCGAAAAAUAUUAACAAAAAAAAGAACUAAGUGACAGCAUAAUUAUCUGGUUUUGUAGAGAUCUCAUCCCAUUUUUAAAACUUUAAAAGAUGGACUAAAAGAUUUUUUAACAAUACAUGGUGUUAUACGAAAUGAAUCUGAUCUGCCACACCCAAGUACAUUAUCUCGCAAUUCGCUCUCAAGAGUACUUAAUGACUGCGUACUUGCUGUAAAAGCAAAAAUAAAUGAAGAUAACCCAAAUGCAAUCGUACUAACCGUGGAUGCAUGUACUGACAAUUAUUGUUAUAUUCCAUAUAUGACUUUCACUUUACAUUGGAUAUCGCCCACAGAAAUGCAGUUGGAGUCAUGUACGCUACAAACAAGCUUCUUACCACAUACACACACAUACUGCAAAUAACAUUAUUGCAGUAUUGAAAAAAGCACUAACACAAUUUAACUUAAACGAUAAAGUUAUAACUCUUGUAACUGAUGGAGGAACAAAUAUGAUAAAAGCCGCAAGAGAUAUGAAAUAUGACAGGGUACCUUGUAUUGCACACGGACUUCACAAUCUAGUGACAGUAGACACUCUUUCUAAAUUACCAGAAGUUCAUGGUCUUAUAAUUAAAGCUAGAAGUAUUAUAUUAUAAAAAUUCUUGCUUUCAAAACCUUCGAUAUUGAAAAAACAAAAGAAUUAUCUGAGCAAGAGGACAUUAAUAGGAUAUUCGAUGCUGAGAAUCUAGAAGAGAUUUUAGAAGCUGAUGACUACAUAAAGAUGUAUCAACCAGAUGGAAUAAUACAUUAGAGAUGUUGUCAAGUUUACUUAAAAAUAAAGACAAUGAAUGGCAAGAGAUGGAAGAUAUAGCAAACUGUUUAACAAGCAUUAAAACAGCAACAGAAAUUUUUUCUGGAGUAGAAUAUCCAACAAUCAACCUUGCACUUUUAUUUAGGUUUGUAAGAUAUUUUUGAAUGAAUAUUUUUAAGAAAUUCAAAAUUAAGGGUAAUAUUAUAAAAUGUGUGUUAGUAAAUGCAUCAAAUUCAUGCAGCUUU